rnacentral:snRNA from 1 species
AUACCUUUCUCGGCCUUUUGGCUAAGAUCAAGUGUAGUAUCUGUUCUUAUCAGUUUAAUAUCUGAUAUGUGGGCCAUUGGCUCACACGAUAUUAAAUUUAUUUUUUGAAGGGGGAGGCCCAUCACGAUAGCUUGCUAUUGGGGACUUCAAGCGUCGCCUUGGCUUUGCAGUACUGCCUUGGCCUGGCGCACCCACC